rnacentral:rRNA from 1 species
UACGAAGGGGGCGAGCGUUGUUCGGAUUUACUGGGCGUAAAGGGCGCGCAGGCGGCUCAUUUUGUCAGGCGUGAAAGCCCCGGGCUUAACCUGGGAACUGCGUUUGAUACGGAUGGGCUAGAGUUCGGGAGAGGAGAGUGGAAUUCCCAGUGUAGAGGUGAAAUUCGUAGAUAUUGGGAAGAACACCGGUGGCGAAGGCGGCUCUCUGGACCGUAACUGACGCUGAGGCGCGAAAGCGUGGGGAGCAAACAGG